rnacentral:rRNA from 1 species
UACGUAGGCAGCGAGCGUUGUUCGGAGUUACUGGGCGUAAAGGGCGCGCAGGCGGCGCAUUUUGUCAGGCGUGAAAGCCCCGGGCUUAACCUGGGAACUGCGUUUGAUACGGAUGGGCUAGAGUUCGGGAGAGGAGAGUGGAAUUCCCAGUGUAGAGGUGAAAUUCGUAGAUAUUGGGAAGAACACCGGUGGCGAAGGCGGCUCUCUGGACCGAGACUGACGCUGAGGCGCGAAAGCGUGGGGGAGCAAACAGG